UUUUUCAGUACACGAAGAAGUCGCUUUUCGAUGCACUGAAAGGCACUCAAGAGCAGGCAGCUACAAGAUGCAGCACAAUGUUAUUGUAUUUUUCUUCUGGGCGACGCUCCUGGAAGGACGAAUGGGCCGUGUCCUAUUUGAUACUGAUCCCGCCAUUGAUGAAUGCCAACAGGCACCAGAACAAAAGGACGAUUGUCCUGGAGUUGCUAAACUGAUGUGGUACUUCAAGCAAAGCGAGGGGAAAUGCGUCCUUUCCACUAAUCUUGUGUGCGUUGACGUGAUCAACGCUUUCCCAGAUGAAGAAACCUGCAA